rnacentral:rRNA from 1 species
UACGUAGGGGGCGAGCGUUGUCCGGAUUUAUUGGGCGUAAAGAGCGUGUAGGCGGCCAUACAGGUCCGUUGUGAAAACUGGGGGCUUAACCUCCAGACGUCGAUGGAAACCGUAUGGCUAGAGUCCGGAAGAGGAGAGUGGAAUUCCUGGUGUAGCGGUGAAAUGCGCAGAUAUCAGGAAGAACACCCGUGGCGAAGGCGGCUCUCUGGGACGGUACUGACGCUGAGACGCGAAAGCGUGGGGAGCGAACAGG